CGGAGGAUCCAAGCGUUAUCCGGAAUCAUUGGGUUUAAAGGGUCCGUAGGCGGCUUUAUAAGUCAGUGGUGAAAUCCGGCAGCUCAACUGUCGAAUUGCCAUUGAUACUGUAGGGCUUGAAUUAUUGUGAAGUAACUAGAAUAUGUAGUGUAGCGGUGAAAUGCUUAGAUAUUACAUGGAAUACCAAUUGCGAAGGCAGGUUACUAACAAUAGAUUGACGCUGAUGGACGAAAGCGUGGGGAGCGAACAGGAUUAGAUACCCUGGUAGUCCACGCCGUAAACGAUGGAUACUAGCUGUUUGACUGCAAGGUUAAGUGGCUAAGCGAAAGUGAUAAGUAUCCCACCUGGGGAGUACGGGCGCAAGCCUG
rnacentral:rRNA from 1 species